AAUUACUGGGCGUAAAGCGCACGCAGGCGGUCUGUCAAGUCGGAUGUGAAAUCCCCGGGCUCAACCUGGGAACUGCAUUCGAAACUGGCAGGCUUGAGUCUUGUAGAGGGGGGUAGAAUUCCAGGUGUAGCGGUGAAAUGCGUAGAGAUCUGGAGGAAUACCGGUGGCGAAGGCGGCCCCCUGGACAAAGACUGACGCUCAGGUGCGAAAGCGUGGGGAGCAAACAGGAUUAGAUACCCUGGUAGUCCACGCCGUAAACGAUGUCUACUUGGAGGUUGUGCCCUUGAGGCGUGGCUUCCGGAGCUAACGCGUUAAGUAGACCGCCUGGGGAGUACGGCCGCAAGGUUAAAACUCAAAUGAAUUGACGGGGGCCCGCACAAGCGGUGGAGCAUGUGGUUUAAUUCGAUGCAACGCGAAGAACCUUACCUGGUCUUGACAUCCACAGAACUUUCCAGAGAUGGAUUGGUGCCUUCGGGAACUGUGAGACAGGUGCUGCAUGGCUGUCGUCAGCUCGUGUUGUGAAAUGUUGGGUUAAGUCCCGCAACGAGCGCAACCCUUAUCCUUUGUUGCCAGCGGUCCGGCCGGGAACUCAAAGGAGACUGCCAGUGAUAAACUGGAGGAAGGUGGGGAUGACGUCAAGUCAUCAUGGCCCUUACGACCAGGGCUACACACGUGCUACAAUGGCGCAUACAAAGAGAAGCGACCUCGCGAGAGCAAGCGGACCUCAUAAAGUGCGUCGUAGUCCGGAUUGGAGUCUGCAACUCGACUCCAUGAAGUCGGAAUCGCUAGUAAUCGUGGAUCAGAAUGCCACGGUGAAUACGUUCCCGGGCCUUGUACACACCGCCCGUCACACCAUGGGAGUGGGUUGCAAAAGAAGUAGGUAGCUUAACCUUCGGGAGGGCGCUUACCACUUUGUGAUUCAUGACUGGGGUGAAGUCGUAACAAGGUAACCGUAGGGGAACCUGCGGUUGGA
rnacentral:rRNA from 1 species